GGAAUCUUCCACAAUGGGCGCAAGCCUGAUGGAGCAACACCGCGUGAGUGAAGAAGGGUUUCGGCUCGUAAAACUCUGUUGUUAAAGAAGAACAUAUCUGAGAGUAACUGUUCAGGUAUUGACGGUAUUUAACCAGAAAGCCACGGCUAACUACGUGCCAGCAGCCGCGGUAAUACGUAGGUGGCAAGCGUUAUCCGGAUUUAUUGGGCGUAAAGCGAGCGCAGGCGGUUUGAUAAGUCUGAUGUGAAAGCCUUUGGCUUAACCAAAGAAGUACAUCGGAAACUGUCAGACUUGAGUGCAGAAGAGGACAGUGGAACUCCAUGUGUAGCGGUGGAAUGCGUAGAUAUAUGGAAGAACACCAGUGGCGAAGGCGGCUGUCUGGUCUGCAACUGACGCUGAGGCUCGAAAGCAUGGGUAGCGAACA
rnacentral:rRNA from 1 species